CAGAUGUCAGGGUAGAGUUCAUCCUGCUGCUGCUUACAUAGGUAUCUGUGCCCCCCACAACCCCCUAAUCCCACCGGGACCCAUCUAGCCUGGAUAAAGGUAUCUGUGCUCCCCACAAACCUCUAAGCCCCCCAGGGAACCCACAAGCCCAGAUGUAGGCAUCUGUUCGCCCCACAAACCCGCUAAGACCCACAGGACCCCUCCAGCCUAUAGGUAGGUAUCUGUGACCUCCAGAGCCACACAAACACCCUCGGGACUCCUACAGCAUGGAUGUUUGUAUCUGUGACCCCCACAAACCUCCUAAGCUACCCACGGCCCCCUACAAUCGGGACGUAGGUAUCUGUUCCCCCCCAACACACCUAAUCCCCCCCGGGACCCCUACAGCCUAGACGUAGGUAUCUGUGCCCCCACAACCCUCCUAAGACCCCCAAAACCCCUCCAGCCUAGACGCAGGUAUCUGUGCUCCCCACAAAGCCCCAGGCCAUGAUGGGACCCUUCCAGCCUCGACAUAGUUAUCUGGGCUCCCCACAACCCCCCUAAGCCCCCCGGAACUCCUCCAGCCUAGACGCAGGUAUCUGUGCCCAACACGAACCCCCUAAGGCCCCCAGGAUCCCUCUUGCCUGGAUGAAGGUAUCUGUGCCCCCCACAAACCCCUAAGCCCCCCAGGAUCCUUAUAACCUGGUGGUAGGUAUCUGUGCACCCUCACAAACCUACUGAUCCUCCCAGCGACCCCUACAGCAUGGACGUAGGUAUCUGUACCCCAAGAUGCCCCAAAGCAACCCCGGGACCCCUACAGCCUCGAUAUAGGUAUCUGUGCCCCCUCACAACUCCCUAAUACCCCCAGAAUCCCUCCAUCCUGGACAUAGAGAUUUGUGACCUCCAGAAACCCCCUAAGCCC